rnacentral:sRNA from 1 species
CUCGGCCGAAUUUCGUAAUGAAAACGGGGGAACCGUAUCUUUUGGGGUGAAUUUCGCAGAACUUCGCGCAGCCGGCUAGGAAGCGGCGGAAGUGUCAGCGAAUAGGGCAACUGUGCAUGUCCGAAUCCGUCAGCUAACCUCGUAGGCCUGUG